rnacentral:lncRNA from 1 species
ACGCGCCCCGUCGCCAUCGGAGGCGCAGAACUGCAGAAGGGGCGUAGGAGCGGAGCAUGGAUGGGAGCGGCGGAAAGGAAGAAGAGCACGUGGAUAUGUAGCCACGAUGAGGAGGUGCUAUGUGCGAUCGGGAAAUACUAUUCCGUCGACACCGGCGCCGUCUUCUCGCUCGUCCCCGUGAGCGCCGCAUCCAAUGCCAAGGGAAUGCCCCGAUGACGCCUCAUUCGUCUCGGCAGCUGGGAGAUGCAACCGGCGUGCGGCCUCCUUCAGGGUGAUUAUGCCAUGAAGAUUUAGUCGAUCAGAAUGAUUAGAUGUGCAAGCACUAUGCAAGAAACAAUGGACGUGGAUGCUUAAGAAGCCCAAAGAGGUGGAUAAACACUUCAAGUUGUUAUCGACCUCGAAAGGAUGAUACAGUCCAGAUGACCAGGCAAGGAUUGGCUAAAGAAGUAACGGUGAAUAACUCAAUAGAUCUUCAAUACCUGACACAGGAAUAACAUGAGGAAGGCUUUUAUCUGUCUUGUCUUUUGGCUAGUCUAGUACAUCAUUCUACUGACACUAGCUUGCUUGUUUUGUAACAUAUUUUCAAGGUGAUUGUAAAAGUGGAGCACAGUUUUGCUGUUACUGAACAUUGUGA